GUCUGUGACCAUACCAGCGUUGCUGUGCCUGAUCUCAGAAGCUAAGCAGAGUUGGGCCUGGUUAGUACUUGGAUGACAGAGGGC
rnacentral:rRNA from 1 species